CUGUGAACUCCAUAUAAAGCGUGUCGAGUCUGUUGUACUGACCCUUUUCUUGUUAUAAUCACAUACAAAGUCACUUGGAGAAGAAGCAGCCCUGACUCAGGAUCCACAUGUGAGAGCAGAAGGCACCUACCUUUCUUUCUAUCUGUAAAGUAAGAUGAACCAUAUUUAUGUUCCUCAAAUAAUGGCAAUUAGUACCUAACAUUGUACCUAAUGUCAUGAAAUAACUUUGCCUCACUGUGCUUUCCUGAAGGAAAUUAGUGGUUUUGAUCUAUGGAUGGACAAUCUCAAAUCUCGCGUCUAACCCCUGACACUCAACCCUGUCCAGAGUCACGGGCAGAUUGCAUGAAUGACAGCUUCCCUUUCUGACCACAGUGGAAUUAACAGAGACUCAUCUACUGUCCUCAGUGGUGACCUGGAGGAGUGACCUUCUCCAGCUGCAAAGGUGCAUGCAACUCCCUUUGGCCACCUGCGCUGACUUUCUCAGGUUGCAGUGAGAGAACAGCACCACGAAGAUGGAAAGAGGGAGAGUGUUUUUGUCUGGCCAUGGGAGUGUUCCAACAUCACAGAUAUUCCCUGAACUCAAACUGAAAGCUGUGCCCUCCAUCCCAAACCUUGGCUAUGAGGAUUUCCACCACUUUAGCCAUGCCAUUGAGCCUUUUGAAGGAGCUUGAGGAGACGAUUCAGCAGCAGACUGUGCUUCUCAGCUCUUUGAUGCUGAAUCAGUGACUCAGCAAGAAGGACCUGUUUUGGCUGUCAAGAGACCAUGCCCACUCCCCAAGACAACAUUCAACUUUCUGCAUGGGAGACACCACUCACGGUGCUCUGUUGCUGCGGCCCCUCUCUUCCAUACUGUGCAGCCCACUCCUCCCCUUUGAUAAGCUCCUGUGGCUGUUGCACCUUCCCCCUGCUCUCCAAACCCUUUUUUUUUCUCUGUUUUGCUGCCUCCCUGCCUUUCACCAACAAGGAUGUUCUUCCAGCAUCUUCGGAGACUGGGAAACAUGAGGGAUGCUAAAAGAGCAUGCUCUCCUCUCCUAGUUCAUCAAACCCUUCUCCCUUUGCCACUUGUCCAUAUCUACAUACCAAAGAACCACUCUCAAAUAUUUUUGGCUUUAUAUAAAUUUUGUAAGCUUGUAAUCCAGGAUGCAAAUGUCAUUGCUGACAGACUCCAAGGAAUACCUAGAAAUAGCAGAAUGUGACACUCACAGCAACUAACUCCUUCUCCUUGAACUCAUCCCUGGUGAUACCUUGCCAAGCAAACUGCUGCUCAGUGUGGCUGAUGGGGACACAGCUAUGUCUAUAAAAUCCAAGAAUCCCACACUGGAUCUUUGCAAGGGUCUCCUGGUACACACAGACCUCUCCAUGGCCAGGUAACUGCAAACUGCUGCUUCCCCUCACUACAGAGACAGAUGCAAAAUACCUGAAAAGUUACUGCAAAUCAGGCAGCUACUGUAGAUUUACUGAGUGAUUAAAUGGAGAUAACAGCGCACUUCAAAGAACUCGCACCAAAUUCCUGAGGUGCCAUUUCGUUGACUCUGCUGGCUUUGCACCAGGCUAGGCUGCACAGCACAGCCUUCAAGCACCGUCCUCAGGCCUUGUGGUGAGCCAAGGGCCAUUCAGACUCAGCCAGCUCUCAUGGAGGUCCCUUGCAUCUCCUUGGCCUUCAGGAGGAGCUGAAAAUCACCAUUCUGGAGAGUAAACCUCUGAGGAGUUUUGUGGUGUGAUGGUGGUAUUAGAUGGUACUUAGAUGGCUUGAAUGAACCCAGCUCCUGUGUGGGGUGGGCAGUGCUGUAACUGGGCACACAAAUCAAGCCUUUUAAAACUUGGGAGGAGUGAGAGGAGUAAACGCUGAACAGCAUUUCUGAGGAUGAGCCUUGCAGAAGAGGAGGGGCUUGGGUUGGCUUUGCAUGACAUGGUCCCUAUUGCCACUUAGAGAGCAAAAAACCUGUGGAUGGUUUCUGAAAAGUUACUGUUUGCAUUUGGUUAUAAAAUCACUGCCACAACAAGGAACGUUUUCAGAUGGUGUUUGCAAACUGUGAGAACACCACUUCCAAAAGCAGGUUGUAGGAGAGAAAGACGCAGGCACUGGGUAUGAGCUCGCCCUCUUCCUCCCCAGCUACCAGAGAGACUUCUCAAAGCUAUCAUGGAGAGCUGAGGAGCAGGUCACACUUCGCAUCUCAGUGACCCCCAAAUGACUUUCACUGCUUUACACUUUCAUUUCCCGAGACACAGAUUUAGAGGCGAGUUAUUUGUUAUUUUGUGUCAAGACAAUGGAAUGUCGCUCUGCCGCCAAAUCCUGAUUUCCUUUCCCAGAUAUCAAUCACUUCGCACUUACUCUCUACCAGAAAGAAACCCCCCAAAAUCAACAAAAACAAUGACUACUAAUGCAGGAUGAAUAAGUGUCAGUGCAGUUACAGGGAGGGGCUUUUAAAGCCCAAGCUCACGUGUUCUGCAACGGCAGAUCAGCUUCCCCCCACCCCGAACACCUGCAAAGGCUCUGCAACCACAUUUGAGAGGACCAAGAGAAAGUAAAUAUUAGCCAGGCAGCCCUUCAGUGCUUCUCAGGAGAUGUCAGGAAUGUAAAUGGUUGCCACAGGCCAGACCAAAGUCCCGCUCAGGGUGUGGUAGGUGCUGUGGAAGAGCCUAAAAGCAGGGCAAAUGUGCAGCAAAACUUCGCUUGUCCUCCUGGGUCUCGGCUUCCUACCUGCAAUACUGCAGGCUGGAGCUCGGGAUGGGUUUUCACAGGAUCAUGCCAUAUUUUAUGGAUGGAAGUGACUCAUCAUAUAAUCAGUCUUGGUCUUAUACAGCCAUAGAACAUCAGCCAGUGAGUCCUGCUUCAAUAGCAAUGCUUGCACUCAAGCUGAAUUUUUCCUUUAGAAAGGGAAAUACUGGCUUGAUGUAAUGAUUUAAAAGGACAGAGCGACUAUCAGAACUGUGGGAAGAUUGUCCAUGACAGGAGGGUUGGAAACAGAUGAUCUUUAAAGUCCCUUCCAACCCAAACCAUUCUGUGAUUCUAGGAUUUCUAAUCAGAACCUGUCAAGCUUCAUUUUGUUAUGUACCAAGUCUGUGGUCUUACCUAGACUCGGAACUUCCUUCAUGAUGCUCUGGAUCUCUAUGAAAAAAUGAGUUUGGCCUCAGCAAGGACAGGAGUUUCUGAAUCUUCAGCCAGAAUGCCAGGAAAUGACUCAUAAACCAAACUAUUUUUGCAGAGAUUACCUUUUUUUGUGGCAUUAUAAAAACUGAGUUCUGACCACGUAGGAAAUGACAUGUUUUACAUCAUGACAUGAGGAACAUGUUUUAUGUGUUUGACUAGAACAACAGUUUGAAUGUACGGGGUUGGCAUGCAUUCAGCAAUGGAAAGCCUAAUUUCUUCCCCUUCCUUUAGCUGCUUGUAAUUUUAAUUGAUAGGUUUUUUUAAACGGCCAUGCCCACUUGCUCCAAAAAUAAAUAGGACAGAUUAAUACAAAUGCACAGCUACAAAUUCCUCACACCCUCACACUGUACAUGUGCCUCCAGCACUGCCUACUGUAUGCUUCACAAGCCUGCCCACCAGAAAGCACUAUACCCUGCUGAUAGACUAACUCUUGCUCUUGUAAGAAAGUUGUGAAAGAACUAUCAUAGCCAGCAUCUGGCUAAC